UCCGGGUUGGUCCCGGCCGUCCCGCUAGAGAACCAACUAGCGGCGGGGGUUGCGCUCGUUGCGGGACUUAACCCAACACCUCACGACACGAGCUGACGACAGCCAUGCACCACCUGUCACCCAGUCCGAAGAGGGCUCUAUCUCUAGAGCUUUCCGGGUGAUGUCAAGGCCAGGUAAGGUUCUUCGCGUUGCAUCGAAUUAAACCACAUACUCCACCGCUUGUGCGGGCCCCCGUCAAUUCCUUUGAGUUUCAGUCUUGCGACCGUACUCCCCAGGCGGCGAACUUAACGCGUUAGCUUCGAUACUGCGUGCCAAAUUGCACCCAACAUCCAGUUCGCAUCGUUUAGGGCGUGGACUAC
rnacentral:misc_RNA from 1 species